rnacentral:rRNA from 1 species
CCUACGGGUGGCAGCAGUGGGGAAUAUUGCACAAUGGGGGAAACCCUGAUGCAGCGACGCCGCGUGGGUGACGAAGUAUUUCGGUAUGUAAAGCCCUAUCAGCAGGGAAGAAGAUGACAGUACCUGACCAAGAAGCCCCGGCUAACUACGUGCCAGCAGCCGCGGUAAUACGUAGGGGGCAAGCGUUAUCCGGAUUUACUGGGGGUAAAGGGAGCGUAGGUGGCAUGGCAAGCCAGAAGUGAAAACCCGGGGCUUAACCCCGCGGAUUGCUUUUGGAACUGUCAGGCUGGAGUGCAGGAGGGGCAGGCGGAAUUCCUGGUGUAGCGGUGAAAUGCGUAGAUAUCAGGAGGAACACCGGUGGCGAAGGCGGCCUGCUGGACUGUAACUGACACUGAGGCUCGAAAGCGUGGGGAGCAAACAGGAUUAGAUACCCCAGUAGUC